rnacentral:rRNA from 1 species
UACGUAGGGGGGCUAGCGUUGUCCGGAUUUAUUGGGCGUAAAGAGCGUGUAGGCGGCCAGGUAGGUCCGGUGUGAAAAACUCGAGGCUUAACCUCGAGAUGUCAUCGGAAACCAUCUGGCUAGAGUCCGGAAGAGGAAAAGUGGAAUUCCUGGUGUAGCGGUGAAAAUGCGCAGAUAUCAGGAAGAACACCAAUGGCGAAAAGCAGCUUUCUGGGGACGGUACUGACGCUGAGACGCGAAAAGCGUGGGGGGAGCGAACAGG